CUUCCCGGGGCUUGACAUCCUUGAAAUUUCCGGAGAGAUAGAGUGCCUCUUCGGAGCAAGGGAAACAGGUGGUGCAUGGUUGUCGUUAACCUGGUUUUUUGAGUUUUGGGUUAAGUCCCGCAAGGGGGCCAACCCCUUUUCUUAGUUGCCACCCGUUAGGUUGGGCACUCUAGGGAGACUGCCGGUGAUAAACCGGAGGAAGGUGGGGAUGACGUCAAGUCAUCAUGCCCCUUAUGUCCAGGGCUACACACGUGCUACAAUGGUCGGUACAAAGGGUUGCGAAGCAGCGAUGUGGAGCGAAUCCCAUAAAGCCGAUCUCAGUUCGGAUUGCAGUCUGCAACUCGCCUGCAUGAAGUUGGAAUCGCUAGUAAUCGCGAAUCAG
rnacentral:rRNA from 1 species